rnacentral:rRNA from 1 species
UACGUAGGGUGCAAGCGUUAAUCGGAAUUACUGGGCGUAAAGCGUGCGCAGGCGGUUUUGUAAGUCUGACGUGAAAUCCCCGGGCUCAACCUGGGAAUUGCGUUGGAGACUGCAAGGCUAGAGUUUGGCAGAGGGGGGGUAGAAUUCCACGUGUAGCAGUGAAAUGCGUAGAUAUGUGGAGGAACACCGAUGGCGAAGGCAGCCCCCCUGGGUCAAGACUGACGCUCAUGCACGAAAGCGUGGGGAGCAAACAGG